CCGCCGCCGUCGCCGCUGUAUAAGCCGCUUGAGGAGCUGGUUUUGCCGAAGGACCUGCGGUUGCGGAGGGUGCCGUCGAGGUAGGAGCACGAACUGGAGUUGGAGACGGAGCAGGAGUGGAGCCCCCUCUUCCACCACGGCCACGGCCUCCACCACCACCACCGCGCUGAAAUGAAGGUGACGAAGUUGAUGAGUCCUGGUCACGACGAGUUUCUGUAUAAGCCGCAUGAGGAGCUGGUUUUGCCGAAGGACCUGCGUUGCGGAGGGUGCCGUCGAGGUAGGAGCACGAACUGGAGUUGGAGACGGAGCAGGAGUGGAGCCCCCUCUUCCACCACGGCCACGGCCUCCACCACCACCACCCGCUGAAAUGAAGGUGACGGAGUUGAUGAGUCCUGGUCACGACGAGUUUCUGAUCGUCGGCCGCCACCACGGCGAGACAUUGUUGCUUAGCUUCUUAGAGAGAGAUAUGGUGAGGGGGGUAGUGGAGAGUGUCUGUCUUGCACAAAAAGUAACGAG
rnacentral:lncRNA from 1 species